UGCAGUGACAGCGCAGCACACAGCUCCUCUCAGGAGGUACUGUACUUGUACGUGAGGUGAAAGAGAAAAAGGCUGGUGACGGUGAGGGCACUGGGUAGGCAGUGGAUGUGUCCAAUACUCUCACUGAAUCCAGUUCACUUAAGUCUUUGCAGUGGCGACGGUCCUAAGAGGAGCCCAGUCCAGUGCCCAGGAGAAACACUGGACUGCAGGAGAAACAGCCCAGGCAGCUUGGAACUGGAGGAUAGCAGUGGUAUUUUGGCUGAAUCUCAGUUCUGCUCCCCCUUGACAGACAAACAAACAGUAUUCUCAUAUUUUGAGAUACCAGACUGAUUCUCCUAACUCCCAGGCAGC